UUUGGUUAAGUUAGAAAGGGCGCACGGUGGAUGCCUUGACACUAGGAGUCGAUGAAGGACGGGACUAACGCCGAUAUGCUUCGGGGAGCUGUAAGUAAGCUUUGAUCCGAAGAUUUCCGAAUGGGGAAACCCACCAUACGUAAUGGUAUGGUAUCCUUAUCUGAAUACAUAGGGUAAGGAAGACAGACCCAGGGAACUGAAACAUCUAAGUACCUGGAGGAAGAGAAAGCAAAUGCGAUUUCCUGAGUAGCGGCGAGCGAAACGGAACAUAGCCCAAACCAAGAGGCUUGCCUCUUGGGGUUGUAGGACAUUCUAUACGGAGUUACAAAGGAACGAGGUAGACGAAGCGACCUGGAAAGGUCCGUCGUAGAGGGUAACAACCCCGUAGUCGAAACUUCGUUCUCUCUUGAAUGUAUCCUGAGUACGGCGGAACACGUGAAAUUCCGUCGGAAUCUGGGAGGACCAUCUCCCAAGGCUAAAUACUCCCUAGUGAUCGAUAGUGAACCAGUACCGUGAGGGAAAGGUGAAAAGCACCCCGGAAGGGGAGUGAAAGAGAUCCUGAAACCGUGUGCCUACAAAUAGUCAGAGCCCGUUAACGGGUGAUGGCGUGCCUUUUGUAGAAUGAACCGGCGAGUUACGAUCCCGUGCGAGGUUAAGCUGAAGAGGCGGAGCCGCAGCGAAAGCGAGUCUGAAUAGGGCGUUUAGUACGUGGUCGUAGACCCGAAACCAGGUGAUCUACCCAUGUCCAGGGUGAAGUUCAGGUAACACUGAAUGGAGGCCCGAACCCACGCACGUUGAAAAGUGCGGGGAUGAGGUGUGGGUAGCGGAGAAAUUCCAAUCGAACCUGGAGAUAGCUGGUUCUCCCCGAAAUAGCUUUAGGGCUAGCCUUAAGUGUAAGAGUCUUGGAGGUAGAGCACUGAUUGGACUAGGGGUCCUCAUCGGAUUACCGAAUUCAGUCAAACUCCGAAUGCCAAUGACUUAUCCUUAGGAGUCAGACUGCGAGUGAUAAGAUCCGUAGUCAAAAGGGAAACAGCCCAGACCGCCAGCUAAGGUCCCAAAGUGUGUAUUAAGUGGAAAAGGAUGUGGAGUUGCUUAGACAACUAGGAUGUUGGCUUAGAAGCAGCCACCAUUUAAAGAGUGCGUAAUAGCUCACUAGUCGAGUGACUCUGCGCCGAAAAUGUACCGGGGCUAAAUACACCACCGAAGCUGCGGAUUGAUACCGAAUGGUAUCAGUGGUAGGGGAGCGUUCUAAGGACAGUGAAGUCAGACCGUAAGGACUGGUGGAGUGCUUAGAAGUGAGAAUGCCGGUAUGAGUAGCGAAAGACGGGUGAGAAUCCCGUCCACCGAAUGCCUAAGGUUUCCUGAGGAAGGCUCGUCCGCUCAGGGUUAGUCAGGACCUAAGCCGAGGCCGACAGGCGUAGGCGAUGGACAACAGGUUGAUAUUCCUGUACCACCUCUUUAUCGUUUGAGCAAUGGAGGGACGCAGAAGGAUAGAAGAAGCGUGCGAUUGGUUGUGCACGUCCAAGCAGUUAGGCUGAUAAGUAGGCAAAUCCGCUUAUCAUAAAGGCUGAGCUGUGAUGGGGAAGCUCCUUAUGGAGCGAAGUCUUUGAUUCCCCGCUGCCAAGAAAAGCUUCUAGCGAGAUAAAAGGUGCCUGUACCGCAAACCGACACAGGUAGGCGAGGAGAGAAUCCUAAGGUGUGCGAGAGAACUCUGGUUAAGGAACUCGGCAAAAUGACCCCGUAACUUCGGGAGAAGGGGUGCUUUCUUAACGGAAAGCCGCAGUGAAUAGGCCCAAGCGACUGUUUAGCAAAAACACAGCUCUCUGCGAAGCCGUAAGGCGAAGUAUAGGGGGUGACACCUGCCCGGUGCUGGAAGGUUAAGGAGAGGGGUUAGCGUAAGCGAAGCUCUGAACUGAAGCCCCAGUAAACGGCGGCCGUAACUAUAACGGUCCUAAGGUAGCGAAAUUCCUUGUCGGGUAAGUUCCGACCCGCACGAAAGGUGUAACGAUUUGGGCACUGUCUCAACCAGAGACUCGGUGAAAUUAUAGUACCUGUGAAGAUGCAGGUUACCCGCGACAGGACGGAAAGACCCCGUGGAGCUUUACUGUAGCCUGAUAUUGAAUUUUGGUAUAGUUUGUACAGGAUAGGCGGGAGCCAUUGAAACCGGAGCGCUAGCUUCGGUGGAGGCGCUGGUGGGAUACCGCCCUGACUGUAUUGAAAUUCUAACCUACGGGUCUUAUCGACCCGGGAGACAGUGUCAGGUGGGCAGUUUGACUGGGGCGGUCGCCUCCUAAAGUGUAACGGAGGCGCCCAAAGGUUCCCUCAGAAUGGUUGGAAAUCAUUCGUAGAGUGCAAAGGCAUAAGGGAGCUUGACUGCGAGACCUACAAGUCGAGCAGGGACGAAAGUCGGGCUUAGUGAUCCGGUGGUUCCGCAUGGAAGGGCCAUCGCUCAACGGAUAAAAGCUACCCCGGGGAUAACAGGCUUAUCUCCCCCAAGAGUCCACAUCGACGGGGAGGUUUGGCACCUCGAUGUCGGCUCAUCGCAUCCUGGGGCUGUAGUCGGUCCCAAGGGUUGGGCUGUUCGCCCAUUAAAGCGGUACGCGAGCUGGGUUCAGAACGUCGUGAGACAGUUCGGUCCCUAUCCGUCGUGGGCGUAGGAAAUUUGAGAGGAGCUGUCCUUAGUACGAGAGGACCGGGAUGGACGCACCGCUGGUGUACCAGUUGUUCUGCCAAGGGCAUAGCUGGGUAGCUAUGUGCGGAAGGGAUAAGUGCUGAAAGCAUCUAAGCAUGAAGCCCCCCUCAAGAUGAGAUUUCCCAUAGCGUAAGCUAGUAAGAUCCCUGAAAGAUGAUCAGGUUGAUAGGUUCGAGGUGGAAGCAUGGUGACAUGUGGAGCUGACGAAUACUAAUAGAUCGAGGACUUAACCAUAUAA
rnacentral:rRNA from 1 species